rnacentral:rRNA from 1 species
GACGAACGCUGGCGGCGUGCUUAACACAUGCAAGUCGAACGGAAAGGCCCUUCGGGGUACUCGAGUGGCGAACGGGUGAGUAACACGGGGGUGAUCUGCCCUGCACUUUGGGAUAAGCCUGGGAAACUGGGUCUAAUACCGAAUAUGACCGCGCUCUUCAUGGGGUGUGGUGGAACGCUUUUGCGGUGUGGGAUGGGCCCGCGGCCUAUCAGCUUGUUGGUGGGGUAAUGGCCUACCAAGGCGACGACGGGUAGCCGGCCUGAGAGGGUGACCGGCCACACUGGGACUGAGAUACGGCCCAGACUCCUACGGGAGGCAGCAGUGGGGAAUAUUGCACAAUGGGCGCAAGCCUGAUUCAGCGACGCCGCGUGAGGGAUGACGGCCUUCGGGUUGUAAACCUCUUUCAAUAGGGACGAAGCGCAAGUGACGGUACCUAUAGAAGAAGGACCGGCCAACUACGUGCCAGCAGCCGCUGUAACAC